GCGACCCCAGGUCAGGCGGGGCUACCCGCUGAAUUUAAGCAUAUCAAUAAGCGGAG
rnacentral:rRNA from 28 species